rnacentral:tRNA from 1 species
GCCCGGGUGGCUCAGUCGGUUGAGCGUCCGACUUCGGCUCAGGUCAUGAUCUCACGGUUCGUGGGUUCGAGCCCCGUGUUGGGCU